UGAAGAGUUUGAUCAUGGCUCAGAUUGAACGCUGGCGGCAGGCCUAACACAUGCAAGUCGAACGGUAACAGGAAGCAGCUUGCUGCUUUGCUGACGAGUGGCGGACGGGUGAGUAAUGUCUGGGAAACUGCCUGAUGGAGGGGGAUAACUACUGGAAACGGUGGCUAAUACCGCAUAACGUCGCAAGACCAAAGAGGGGGACCUUCGGGCCUCUUGCCAUCAGAUGUGCCCAGAUGGGAUUAGCUUGUUGGUGAGGUAACGGCUCACCAAGGCGACGAUCCCUAGCUGGUCUGAGAGGAUGACCAGCCACACUGGAACUGAGACACGGUCCAGACUCCUACGGGAGGCAGCAGUGGGGAAUAUUGCACAAUGGGCGCAAGCCUGAUGCAGCCAUGCCGCGUGUAUGAAGAAGGCCUUCGGGUUGUAAAGUACUUUCAGCGGGGAGGAAGGUGUUGUGGUUAAUAACCGCAGCAAUUGACGUUACCCGCAGAAGAAGCACCGGCUAACUCCGUGCCAGCAGCCGCGGUAAUACGGAGGGUGCAAGCGUUAAUCGGAAUUACUGGGCGUAAAGCGCACGCAGGCGGUCUGUCAAGUCGGAUGUGAAAUCCCCGGGCUCAACCUGGGAACUGCAUUCGAAACUGGCAGGCUUGAGUCUUGUAGAGGGGGGUAGAAUUCCAGGUGUAGCGGUGAAAUGCGUAGAGAUCUGGAGGAAUACCGGUGGCGAAGGCGGCCCCCUGGACAAAGACUGACGCUCAGGUGCGAAAGCGUGGGGAGCAAACAGGAUUAGAUACCCUGGUAGUCCACGCCGUAAACGAUGUCUACUUGGAGGUUGUGCCCUUGAGGCGUGGCUUCCGGAGCUAACGCGUUAAGUAGACCGCCUGGGGAGUACGGCCGCAAGGUUAAAACUCAAAUGAAUUGACGGGGGCCCGCACAAGCGGUGGAGCAUGUGGUUUAAUUCGAUGCAACGCGAAGAACCUUACCUGGUCUUGACAUCCACAGAACUUUCCAGAGAUGGAUUGGUGCCUUCGGGAACUGUGAGACAGGUGCUGCAUGGCUGUCGUCAGCUCGUGUUGUGAAAUGUUGGGUUAAGUCCCGCAACGAGCGCAACCCUUAUCCUUUGUUGCCAGCGAUUAGGUCGGGAACUCAAA
rnacentral:rRNA from 1 species